rnacentral:lncRNA from 1 species
AAGAUUGCAGGUUUGGGAAUUGUAUAACAGAAAUUGCAGAACCUGAGUUGCCAGCUUGUUGAGCGGGAGGAAAAAGGGUCCUUAUCCGCUUUGUUAGAACGACGUCGCGUUGAGCAAGCAACGUUUCUCCUCGUUGCAGCAAGUUAAUGAAACGGUGCGCAUCAUUUUGGAGGAAAAGUGAAAAUGGAGAUGAAAAGUUCCCUUUUCCUAAUACCCGCCCACAAGUUGGAGGGCAGAGAUUAUACAUUCCGAGCUUGGAGAGAAAAAAUCGGAAGGGGACUGGUCGUAGAGCCUUG